ACUCCUGCGGGAGGCAGCAGUGGGGAAUUUUGGACAAUGGGCGAAAGCCUGAUCCAGCAAUGCCGCGUGAGUGAAGAAGGCCUUCGGGUUGUAAAGCUCUUUUGUCAGGGAAGAAACGGUGAAAGCUAAUAUCUUUUGCUAAUGACGGUACCUGAAGAAUAAGCACCGGCUAACUACGUGCCAGCAGCCGCGGUAAUACGUAGGGUGCAAGCGUUAAUCGGAAUUACUGGGCGUAAAGCGUGCGCAGGCGGUUUUGUAAGUCUGAUGUGAAAUCCCCGGGCUCAACCUGGGAAUUGCAUUGGAGACUGCAAGGCUAGAAUCUGGCAGAGGGGGGUAGAAUUCCACGUGUAGCAGUGAAAUGCGUAGAUAUGUGGAGGAACACCGAUGGCAAAGGCAGCCCCCUGGGUCAAGAUUGACGCUCAUGCACGAAAGCGUGGGGAGCAAACAGGAUUAGAAACCCGAGUAGUCCCA
rnacentral:rRNA from 1 species